UUCAUUUUCAAAUCGACAAAAUGCGAUAGUUGGUUUUGCUUUUAACAUUUGGCGUUAGAUGGCUUCAAAUGUUAUUCAGUUUCCAAGGGCAAACAAACAUUCGGAAUCUUUGUCACAAUCGUUCGCAAUCACACGUCAACGUUCUUCACUCUAUCGUUAACUUAUUCGUUAAGUGUUUGAUGGAUACACAAGCACUCAGUCUUUUACUGAUACUAGUGUUUAGUGUCUUUUCCAGUUACCUUAGUACAAAAUUGGUAGAUUUUGCUUUGUUUUAACCGCUGAUUUGUAAAAUGUCGUACACUAACGGCACCUCAAAUUAGAGGUGGAUGUGAGCAAAUCGGUCCGGAAGCACCGCUUCUCCAUACUGGCCCAUCUUCGGACGGUUCUAAAGGAUCGAGGUUGAUACAUUUUAUCCUUGGUUCCAUUACUGCUGUUACAAGCGGUUACAAUUGCUGUUAUUGUAGUCAGUACAUAACCUAAUUCUACUGAUGAAUAACCUUUAUUUCAUUCCAGAUGAUUUUGUAUUGAAAUCAAGAAGUCACCUUCAUAGUUUUUUUAUCAUCCACUCCAAAUCAUAAACUUACUUUUUUCUCUGCAUAUGUGCAUACUUAUACAGGCAAUAUAACACGGGGAUGAACUCGACAUAUAACUCACGUAGAAUAAGAGAACGAUAGUUUAACAUGUCAACCUUGGUGAUUUAUUACUAUGUUUAAACAUGCAAAAGAGCAGCAGAACCAGGAACAAGAAAUUUGAGAAAGAUGCCAUCUUUUCAGUAAAUUAACAAAAGUUUUACGAUACUGCAAAACGUGAAAAACAAAAAAAAAGAAGUUAGGAAAUGUUUGACAGAAACUAAUAAUAUCAGGAAAAGAAAAACCUUUCUCUUCAUUCAGAAUGAUCGAGUAGGCAUAGAUAAACCCCAGAUUGGAGUAAAUUGGGUGAAACU